CCUACGGGUGGCAGCAGUGAGGAAUAUUGGUCAAUGGUCGUGAGCCUGAACCAGCCAAGUAGCGUGCAGGAUGACUGCCCUACGGGUUGUAAACUUCUUUUAUACAGGAAUAAAGUGAGGCACGUGUGCUUUUUUGUAUGUACUUUAUGAAUAAGGACCGGCGAAUUCCGUGCCAGCAGCCGCGGUAAUACGGAGGUUCCGAGCGUUAUCCGGAUUUAUUGGGUUUAAAGGGAGCGUAGAUGGGUUGUUAAGUCAGUUGUGAAAGUUUGCGGCUCAACCGUAAAAUUGCAAUUGAUACUGGCAGCCUUGAGUACAGUUGAGGUAGGCGGAAUUCGUGGUGUAGCGGUGAAAUGCUUAGAUAUCACGAAGAACUCCGAUUGCGAAGGCAGCUUACUAAACUGCCACUGACAUUGAUGCUCGAAAGUGUGGGUAUCAAACAGGAUUAGAUACCCCGGUAGUC
rnacentral:rRNA from 1 species